rnacentral:rRNA from 1 species
GGCCAGCAUCAGUUUUGGUGGCUGGAUAAAUCCAUAGGAAUGUGGCUUGCCUUGGUAAGUAUUAUAGCCUGUGGGAAUACUGCUAGCUGGGACUGAGGAUUGCGACUUUUGUCAAGGAUGCUGGGUAAU